UACGAGAGGCCCAAACGUUAUUCGGAAUUACUGGGCUUAAAGAGUUCGUAGGCGGCAUGAAAAGUAGGGUGUGAAAGCCCUCGGCUCAACCGAGGAAUUGCGCUCUAAACGGUCGUGCUCGAGGAACCUAGAGGUGAGCAGAACAGAUGGUGGAGCGGUGAAAUGCGUUGAUAUCAUCUGGAAUACCGGAGGCGAAGGCGGCUCACGGGGGGUUUUCUGACGCUGAGGAACGAAAGCCAGGGUAGCGAACGGG
rnacentral:rRNA from 1 species